AUUGAACGCUGGCGGCAGGCCUAACACAUGCAAGUCGAGCGGAUGAAGGGAGCUUGCUCCUGGAUUCAGCGGCGGACGGGUGAGUAAUGCCUAGGAAUCUGCCUGGUAGUGGGGGAUAACGUCCGGAAACGGGCGCUAAUACCGCAUACGUCCUGAGGGAGAAAGUGGGGGAUCUUCGGACCUCACGCUAUCAGAUGAGCCUAGGUCGGAUUAGCUAGUUGGUGGGGUAAAGGCCUACCAAGGCGACGAUCCGUAACUGGUCUGAGAGGAUGAUCAGUCACACUGGAACUGGAAAACGGUCCAGGCCCCUACGGGAGGCAGGAGGGGGGAAUAUUGGACAAGGGGGGAAAGCCUGAUCCAGCCAUGCCGGGUGGGUGAAGAAGGUUUUUGGAUUGUAAAGCACUUUAAGUUGGGGGGAAGGGAAGUAAGUUAAAACCUUUCUGUUUUGACGUUACCAACAAAAAAAGCCCCGGCUAACUGCUG
rnacentral:rRNA from 1 species